AUGUUCACGAGCUCUGGAGUCUCCAACAAGCCACAAUCAAUUUCACACCAAGAGCAAACUUCCGCGCACAUCUCCCCGGGCAAGUCCCCAUCUCCUAAAACUGUGGGAGUCCCCCUGGCACAUCCACCAAUGAGAAGCCUGGAAGGCUCUGCUGGCAGCCAACUCCCCCCCAACGCUACAGCCCAAGUUCCAGCAAAGGCUCGGCGGAGCGGCGCGCGCCCACUCGCCAUCCCCCAGCCCCUUGGCGCUCCGCGUCUCUGGCGCCCACUUGCAGAGAACUUGGUCCCCGGUCCGCGGAGCCCGGGAGAACGCGAGACCACGGACGGCACCGCCGCACCUACUCACUUCUCAGCUCUCUUCAUUCAUUCAACUCCACCGAAGUGCAGUUCCCUCCGGGAGCUGAGGCUCAGGGGUCCGCGGGAGCGCUGCGGGAGCCGGGCGCGGGGAGCCACACGCCGCCAGCCCGGCGGGAGAACAGGCAAGGCAGCCGGUGGGGCAAGCGAAAGGGACGCGGAGCUGUGCAGAGCCGCGGGGCGGACUGGCCCUGGCCGCCAAUGUGCCUUUGUUUAUGUGGCUCGGGCUGCCGCUGCCAACAUGCACCUAAAGUCUGCGCGCGUCAGCGCGCGUCAGCGGCCGGCGGUCCAAUCGCCGCGUCGCCGCGCUCCCCGGACUCCUGGCCCGCGCUCGCUUUGGUAUAUUUCCGACCUGACGUCACGGCUGGGGCUGAUUUUAAGGUGGGAACGGUUCUGCGUUCACCUUGGUAGCCCACUUGGGUGGGUUUUUUUUUUUUUUUCUAUUUUUUUUUCCGAAAGAAGUGUGACUUCUGCAACACAGGUCGUGAAACCUGCGGUGAUGCUACGCUUUACCGGCCCCCAGGCCUUGAGUCCUCACACGUGGGGAGGGUGCAACAAAAGCUUGAACGGAAAAGAACGCUGGCUUGGGCCAGGUAGCUGGCCCCUGGACCCCGCGGGCAGAGACAAUACAUCAAAGAGUCGGGCAACAGGUGCGCCUGCAGCAGUACGGUGA
rnacentral:lncRNA from 1 species